rnacentral:tRNA from 1 species
GGCGCUGUGGCCGAGUGGUUAGGCAACGGACUGCAAAUCCGUGAACACCGGUUCGAAUCCGGUCAGUGCCU